ACGGCGGUGUUUGGCACCUCGAUGUCGGCUCAUCUCAUCCUGGGGCUGAAGCAGGUCCCAAGGGUAUGGCUGUUCGCCAUUAAAGAGGUACGCGAGCUGGGUUUAGAACGUCGUGAGACAGUUCGGUCCCUAUCUACCGUUCCAGUCCAACGUUAAUCGGGGCUGGGUGAGUCGACCCCUAAGGCGAGGCCGAAAGGCGUAGUCGAUGGGAAAUCGGUUAAUAUUCCGAUACUUGUUUAUGAUGCGAUGAAGGACGUGACAGCCUGCGAAAAGCGUCGGGGAGGCGGCAAUAUCCUGUGAUCCGGCGAUAUCUGAAUGGGGAAACCCACCUACCAUAAGGUAGGUACCCCGCUAUAUUUUAUAGCGGGGGGCAAACCGGGAGAAGUGAAACAUCUCAGUAACCCGAGGAAAAGACAUCAAUAGAGAUUCCCCUAGUAGCGGCGAGCGAACGGGGAGGAGCCGACUGAUUAUAAUUUAGAGGAAUGACUUGGAAAGGUCAAUCGUAGAGGGUGAUAAUCCCGUACUCGAAAGGUUAUAAGAAGCAUAUUAAGUAGGGCGGAACACGAGAAAUUCUGUCUGAAGAUGGGGGGACCAUCCUCCAAGGCUAAAUACUCCUGACUGACCGAUAGUGAACCAGUACCGUGAGGGAAAGGCGAAAAGAACCCCUGUGAGGGGAGUGAAAUAGAACCUGAAACCGUGUGCAUACAAGCAGUCGGAGCCCCGCUACUUAAUUAUUUUGGAAUGAUAAUGUUCUACGUAUAUAUACUCAAAGGUGAAGAUGGUUCGCAUUAUUGUGGAUACACAUCAGACCUAAGACAACGAUUUGCCGCCCAUAACAGUGGUGGAAACAAAUCGACCAGUUACCAGCAAUGGCAACUACUAUACUAUGAAGCAUAUCAAACAAAACAAUUAGCAAUGAGAAGAGAGCAAGCGCUCAAACAUCAUGGCAAAGUUUACCAGUCCUUAAUCAAGCGACUGGCAGAAUAAUUAAGUAGCGGGGUGACGGCGUACCUUUUGUAUAAUGGGUCAGCGACUUAUAUUCUGUAGCAAGGUUAACCGAAUAGGGGAGCCGUAGGGAAACCGAGUCUUAAUAGGGCGUCUAGUUGCAGGGUAUAGACCCGAAACCGAGUGAUCUAUCCAUGAGCAGGUUGAAAGUGACGUAACAGUUACCGGAGGACCGAACCCACUGUCGUUGAAAAGCCAGGGGAUGACUUGUGGAUAGGGGUGAAAGGCUAAUCAAACUCGGUGAUAGCUGGUUCUCCCCGAAAGCUAUUUAGGUAGCGCCUCGGACGAACACCAUUGGGGGUAGAGCACUGUUUCGGCUAGGGGGUCAUCCCGACUUACCAAACCGAUGCAAACUCCGAAUACCGAUGAGUGAUAUCCGGGAGACAGACUGCGGGUGCUAACGUCCGUAGUCAAGAGGGAAACAACCCAGACCGCCAGCUAAGGCCCCAAAUUCCUAGUUAAGUGGGAAACGAUGUGGGAAGGCACAGACAGCUAGGAGGUUGGCUUAGAAGCAGCCAUCCUUUAAAGAAAGCGUAAUAGCUCACUAGUCGAGUCGGCCUGCGCGGAAGAUGUAACGGGGCUCAAACUAGGAGCCGAAGCUGCGGAUUUAAUUGUUUCAAUUAAGUGGUAGGGGAGCAUUGUGUAAGCCUGUGAAGGUGUGUUGUAAAGCAUGCUGGAGGUAUCACAAGAGCGAAUGCUGACGUGAGUAACGACAAUGCGAGUGAAAAGCUCGCACGCCGGAAGACCAAGGGUUCCAGUCCAACGUUAAUCGGGGCUGGGUGAGUCGACCCCUAAGGCGAGGCCGAAAGGCGUAGUCGAUGGGAAAUCGGUUAAUAUUCCGAUACUUGUUUAUGAUGCGAUGGAGGGACGGAGAAGGUUAUGCCAGCCUGGCGAUGGUUGUCCAGGUGGAAGGAUGUAGUUAGGUUUAGUAGGCAAAUCCGCUAGACUAUUAAUGAGAUCUGAUAGCAAGCUGUACUUGUACAGCGAAGUGGCAAAUACCCUGCUUCCAGGAAAAGCUUCUAAGCGAUAGUCAUAAACAAAUCGUACCCUAAACCGACACAGGUGGUCAGGUAGAGAAUACCAAGGCGCUUGAGAGAACUCUGCUGAAGGAACUAGGCAAAAUGGUACCGUAACUUCGGGAGAAGGUACGCUGCCGAUGGUGAGUAGUCACGCACUACAAAGCUAUUGGCAGUCGCAGAUACCAGGCCGCUGCAACUGUUUAUUAAAAACACAGCACUCUGCAAACACGAAAGUGGACGUAUAGGGUGUGAUGCCUGCCCGGUGCUGGAAGGUUAAUUGAUGGGGUUAGCGGUAAGGCGAAGCUCUUGAUCGAAGCCCCAGUAAACGGCGGCCGUAACUAUAACGGUCCUAAGGUAGCGAAAUUCCUUGUCGGGUAAGUUCCGACCUGCACGAAUGGCAUAAUGAUGGCGGCGCUGUCUCCAGCAGAGACUCAGUGAAAUCGAAAUCGCAGUGAAGAUGCUGUGUACCCGCGGCUAGACGGAAAGACCCCGUGAACCUUUACUACAGCUUUACAUUGAACUUUGACCUUACCUGUGUAGGAUAGGUGGGAGGCUUUGAAGCAGGCACGCCAGUGUCUGUGGAGCCAUCCUUGAAAUACCACCCUGGUAAUGUUGGGGUUCUAACUCAAGCUUAACAGAGCUGAGGACAAUGUAUGGUGGGUAGUUUGACUGGGGCGGUCUCCUCCUAAAGAGUAACGGAGGAGUACGAAGGUGCGCUCAGAACGGUCGGAAAUCGUUCGAAGAGUAUAAAGGCAAAAGCGCGCUUAACUGCGAGACCCACAAGUCGAGCAGAUACGAAAGUAGGUCUUAGUGAUCCGGUGGUUCUGUAUGGAAGGGCCAUCGCUCAACGGAUAAAAGGUACUCUGGGGAUAACAGGCUGAUACCGCCCAAGAGUUCAUAUCGACGGCGGUGUUUGGCACCUCGAUGUCGGCUCAUCUCAUCCUGGGGCUGAAGCAGGUCCCAAGGGUAUGGCUGUUCGCCAUUUAAAGAGGUACGCGAGCUGGGUUUAGAACGUCGUGAGACAGUUCGGUCCCUAUCUACCGUGGGCGUUGGAAAUUUGAGAGGAUCUGCUCCUAGUACGAGAGGACCAGAGUGGACGAACCUCUGGUGUUUCGGUUGUCACGCCAGUGGCAUUGCCGAGUAGCUAUGUUCGGAUGGGAUAACCGCUGAAAGCAUCUAAGCGAUAGUCAUAAACAAAUCGUACCCUAAACCGACACAGGUGGUCAGGUAGAGAAUACCAAGGCGCUUGAGAGAACUCUGCUGAAGGAACUAGGCAAAAUGGUACCGUAACUUCGGGAGAAGGUACGCUGCCGAUGGUGAGUAGUCACGCACUACAAAGCUAUUGGCAGUCGCAGAUACCAGGCCGCUGCAACUGUUUAUUAAAAACACAGCACUCUGCAAACACGAAAGUGGACGUAUAGGGUGUGAUGCCUGCCCGGUGCUGGAAGGUUAAUUGAUGGGGUCAGCCGCAAGGCGAAGCUCUUGAUCGAAGCCCCAGUAAACGGCGGCCGUAACUAUAACGGUCCUAAGGUAGCGAAAUUCCUUGUCGGGUAAGUUCCGACCUGCACGAAUGGCAUAAUGAUGGCGGCGCUGUCUCCAGCAGAGACUCAGUGAAAUCGAAAUCGCAGUGAAGAUGCUGUGUACCCGCGGCUAGACGGAAAGACCCCGUGAACCUUUACUACAGCUUUACAUUGAACUUUGACCUUACCUGUGUAGGAUAGGUGGGAGGCUUUGAAGCAGGCACGCCAGUGUCUGUGGAGCCAUCCUUGAAAUACCACCCUGGUAAUGUUGGGGUUCUAACUCAAGCUUAACAGAGCUGAGGACAAUGUAUGGUGGGUAGUUUGACUGGGGCGGUCUCCUCCUAAAGAGUAACGGAGGAGUACGAAGGUGCGCUCAGAACGGUCGGAAAUCGUUCGAAGAGUAUAAAGGCAAAAGCGCGCUUAACUGCGAGACCCACAAGUCGAGCAGAUACGAAAGUAGGUCUUAGUGAUCCGGUGGUUCUGUAUGGAAGGGCCAUCGCUCAACGGAUAAAAGGUACUCUGGGGAUAACAGGCUGAUACCGCCCAAGAGUUCAUAUCGACGGCGGUGUUUGGCACCUCGAUGUCGGCUCAUCUCAUCCUGGGGCUGAAGCAGGUCCCAAGGGUAUGGCUGUUCGCCAUUAAAGAGGUACGCGAGCUGGGUUUAGAACGUCGUGAGACAGUUCGGUCCCUAUCUACCGUUCCAGUCCAACGUUAAUCGGGGCUGGGUGAGUCGACCCCUAAGGCGAGGCCGAAAGGCGUAGUCGAUGGGAAAUCGGUUAAUAUUCCGAUACUUGUUUAUGAUGCGAUGGAGGGACGGAGAAGGUUAUGCCAGCCUGGCGAUGGUUGUCCAGGUGGAAGGAUGUAGUUAGGUUUAGUAGGCAAAUCCGCUAGACUAUUAAUGAGAUCUGAUAGCAAGCUGUACUUGUACAGCGAAGUGGCAAAUACCCUGCUUCCAGGAAAAGCUUCUAAGCGAUAGUCAUAAACAAAUCGUACCCUAAACCGACACAGGUGGUCAGGUAGAGAAUACCAAGGCGCUUGAGAGAAC
rnacentral:rRNA from 1 species